rnacentral:rRNA from 1 species
GACGAACGCUGGCGGCGUGCUUAACACAUGCAAGUCGAACGGAAAGGCCCUGCUUUUGUGGGGUGCUCGAGUGGCGAACGGGUGAGUAACACGUGAGUAACCUGCCCUUGACUUUGGGAUAACUUCAGGAAACUGGGGCUAAUACCGGAUAGGAGCUCCUGCUGCAUGGUGGGGGUUGGAAAGUUUCGGAGGUUGGGGAUGGACUCGCGGCUUAUCAGCUGGUUGGUGGGGUAGUGGCUUACCAAGGCUUUGACGGGUAGCCGGCCUGGGAGGGUGACCGGCCACAUUGGGACUGCGAGACGGCCCAGACUCCUACGGGAGGCAGCAGUGGGGAAUCUUGCACAAUGGGCGGAAGCCUGAUGCAGCAACGCCGCGUGCGGGAUGCCGGCCUUCUUGUUGUAAACCGCUUUCGCCUGUGACGAAGCGUGAGUGACGGUAAUGGGUAAAGAAGCACCGGCUAACUACGUG